GCCUUCGUGGUGUAGUGGUCAACACCAUGGAUGCGUAUUCCAGAGGUCCGUGGUUCGAGUCCCGGCGAAGGCU
rnacentral:tRNA from 1 species